CCAAGGGUAUGGCUGUUCGCCAUUUAAAGUGGUACGCGAGCUGGGUUUAGAUCGUCGUGAGACAGUUCGGUCCCUAUCGGCCGUGGGCGCUGGAGAACUGAGAGGGGCUGCUCCUAGUACGAGAGGACCGGAGUGGACGCAUCACUGGUGUUCGGGUUGUCAUGCCAAUGGCACUGCCCGGUAGCUAAAUGCGGAAGAGAUAAGUGCUGAAAGCAUCUAAGCACGAAACUUGCCCCGAGAUGAGUUCUCCCUGACUCCUUGAGAGUCCUGAAGGAACGUUGAAGACGACGACGUUGAUAGGCCGGGUGUGUAAGCGCAGCGAUGCGUUGAGCUAACCGGUACUAAUGAACCGUGAGGCUUAACCUUACAACGCCGAAG
rnacentral:rRNA from 1 species